GAGGCCCUGAGAGGCAAAGGCCUAGCGGACUAGGCCUAGGGGUGGGGAAAUAAAUCAUUAAAACCUGCUGAUCCGGCAGGCUCGCUAUCAAUCCGGAGAUGCUGUGGAGGCGCCAGUUCUGCCAGGGCAACAGGCUGGAGCGGGGAGGCAGGAAGACAUGACCAUAAAACUUUGCAACAGCAGGAUGUUCCCUCAAGCUUGGCAAAUCUUCGGGUGAUCUCAGGAGAAGGAGGAAAAGAUAUCUCGAGAAGAGGAUGAUUCAGUUGGCCAACAGAAGGCCCGUUUCCUUGUAUCCUGCAGCAUAAAAUGAUAAAGCACGUUGCCAGGCCUGGGCUGGAAGCAGAGACCCUGGAUGCAGAAACCGAAAGCGAGGAAGCCCAAGACCGGCCCAGGCCAAACCUGAAGAGAACGUUUCCAUCAGAAUGCUUUUGGCUACGGGGAGCAGACAGCAUUGCCGACAGCGGCAGGAUCAGGCGAGUUUGUGAGGAAUCUGUCAGCGCAGGAGUUCUCCAGAUAGAAGCUCGACUCUCUCAGUUCCGAGUCUCUGCAUGGUCUCUCCUGCUGUCUGGCACUGCUGGCGUGUGUCCUCUUGCACAAAAGAACCACUGCGGCCUGGGUCCCUGACUUCCCUGCCGCCGUCCACUCUCCUCUGCUUUGCUGACAUCCAGCAGCGCUGCAGGGCCAUCUGGGUGUGCUGCUCUUCACCCAGCUGACUCCCUUUAGCUUCAGCUCGCCCGGAGGAAGGGCCCAGGCCUGCGAUACUGUCCCCGUUUCAGAGGUUAAUCACAAGCACGGUUUGUCUGUGCUCCGAAUUAAAAGAGAGGACCCCAAGGCCCUCUAGAGUUAUUCACUUGCCAGUUACUACAAAGGGUAGUAAGACAGCCAGACAACGGGUCAGAGGGCACUGGGACAGUUCCCUUCUGUCCUGGGAAGUCUGGGCCGCCUCCUGGCAUGGGGCUGCUUUCUUCCUCAUCAACCUGGUGAGGCCGAGGCUCAGAGAUCUUCUGGGUUUUCCUGGAGGCUCCAUCACAUAAGAGGGCUGAUUUAAUCACCA